CAAAAAAGUGUCGCCAAAAACAUGGCGGAUUUUCACGUUUGCUUACGCCAUCUGGUUCCUUUUGGCAAUGGUAUUUACCACUGACAAACCGCGAUCCUCUGCUUUUGACGGUGUCUUUCACCCCCCUGGAUUUUCGAUAAAAAAUGUUUUUGUUUCCAGCUAAAAAUAUUUUUCUCCUACUUUGCUUGUUUUACAAAGUCGAGGAAAAAAUGCCUUCCUUGUGGAUGCUGCAAUACGCUAUAAACGAAGAGUAGAGUAUUUUCUUCAGGUAAGAUUUUUUUAAAAACUUUUCAGAUGGCUAAAAAAAUUUGUGUGUAUGAAAUUUUGCUUUUGUUUCAAGCUCUGGCUUUUGUGUUUUUACUCUCGGUUUUUAUUGCCAGUUACAGUAGUUUUAAAUAUUUUGUGUCCUUCUAUAUACUAUUUAUUAAAACCCUUACACUUACAAUAAGCAUUGUAAGCAUUUAGUAAGCUCUGGAUUUUAAUAUUUUAUAUAAUAUUAAUAAAUAUGUUUCCUGUGACCAUCUUAACUUUAUAUUAUUAAACUGCUAGUCUUUGCCAGAUUUUGUAUUAAACAGCAGUUGCCUACUGUGCAAUACUGCAGUUAGUCAUGUAUAUGUGUGGUGUAGGAGGUGUGCACAACCAAUUUGUAUAUGGCACUUUUGACAGCAGCUUGAGUUGUAAUGGCCAUGGGGCAACUUUUUGCUGCAAUAAAUCACUAUUUUGUGCAUAUACCAUCUCUGCAAUACAAGCAAAUGUUUUGUUGAUACCCUCAACACAAAGACCAAGCAUUCAUGGGUAAUUCCACAAUACAUUCACACCUCCCAAAAAGAGGAAUACAAGUCAACACCUUUCUCCUUCAGUUGUUUAAUAUAUGUCCUCAAACAUUUUACUAUGAUAGAGGGGUUUGUCCUGCUUCCCUCUUGAGAUGACAGCAAUAUCCUCUGUAGUGAGGGGUCUGAUAUUCUGUCUUAAUAAUCCUCACAAUGGGUAAUUCCAGAAAAGAUCCAUACUCCCCCCACAGAGGAAAUAUCUGCCAUCCAGAGGGGGAAGGAAGAAAAAAUUGUUUCUGAUAAUAGUAAAUGUAUUAGGACAUCCUAAGGGGGUAGGGGGUUAACUUCCUAAUUCCUCUGUGGGGGUGGUAUGGAUGUUUUCUGGAAUGACCCAAUGAUAGACUAGCUAAUUAUGACAAUAUAUUUAAACAUUACUCACUUUUCUUAUUUAGGUUGAAACUUUAAUGUGGACAAGAAUGAAACACAAGGUCUUUGGAGGUUCAAAUAGCAGGAGUAGUGGUGUACUGGCCAGGACCAGUAGUACCCCCUAGUAAGAGUACCCCUAGAAGUUUCAAGAUACUGAACAGCAGAGAGCAAAUUAGUCAUAGCCAGUGGGGCAACAAAGUUAUUAGAACAGUUUAGAUUUUAAAAUAAU